rnacentral:rRNA from 1 species
UACGGAGGAUGCAAGCGUUAUCCGGAAUUAUUGGGCGUAAAGCGUCCGUAGGUGGUUGUGUAAGUCUGCUGUCAAAGCGUGCGGCUUAACCGCAUAAGGGCAGUGGAAACUACAGAACUAGAGUGCGAUAGGGGUCACAGGAAUUCCCAGUGUAGCGGUGAAAUGCGUAGAUAUUGGGAAGAACACCAGCGGCGAAAGCGUGUGACUGGGUCUGCACUGACACUGAGGGACGAAAGCUAGGGGAGCGAAAGGG